CAGUCGCCGCGGUAAUACGAGGGGGGCAAGCGUUGUUCGGAAUUAUUGGGCGUAAAGGGUGCGUAGGCGGUUUGGCAAGUUUGGUGUGAAAUCUUCGGGCUCAACUCGAAGUCUGCAUCGAAAACUGCCGGGCUUGAGUAUGGGAGAGGUGAGUGGAAUUUCCGGUGUAGCGGUGAAAUGCGUAGAUAUCGGAAGGAACACCUGUGGCGAAAGCGGCUCACUGGACCAUAACUGACGCUGAUGCACGAAAGCUAGGGGAGCAAACAGGAUUAGAGACCCCUGUAGUCCCUGUCUCUUAUAC
rnacentral:rRNA from 1 species